rnacentral:rRNA from 1 species
GAUGAACGCUGGCGGCGUGCCUAAUACAUGCAAGUCGAGCGAACGGACGAGGAGCUUGCUUUUCUGAUGUUAGCGGCGGACGGGUGAGUAACACGUGGAUAACCUACCUAUAAGACUGGGAUAACUUCGGGAAACCGGAGCUAAUACCGGAUAAUAUUUUGAACCGCAUGGUUCAAAAGUGAAAGACGGUCUUGCUGUCACUUAUAGAUGGAUCCGCGCUGCAUUAGCUAGUUGGUAAGGUAACGGCUUACCAAGGCAACGAUGCAUAGCCGACCUGAGAGGGUGAUCGGCCACACUGGAACUGAGACACGGUCCAGACUCCUACGGGAGGCAGCAGUAGGGAAUCUUCCGCAAUGGGCGAAAGCCUGACGGAGCAACGCCGCGUGAGUGAUGAAGGUCUUCGGAUCGUAAAACUCUGUUAUUAGGGAAGAACAUAUGUGUAAGUAACUGUGCACAUCUUGACGGUACCUAAUCAGAAAGCCACGGCCAACUACGUG